UACGGAGGGGGUUAGCGUUGUUCGGAAUUACUGGGCGUAAAGCGCGCGUAGGCGGACCAGAAAGUUGGGGGUGAAAUCCCGGGGCUCAACCCCGGAACGGCCUCCAAAACUCCUGGUCUUGAGUUCGAGAGAGGUGAGUGGAAUUCCGAGUGUAGAGGUGAAAUUCGUAGAUAUUCGGAGGAACACCAGUGGCGAAGGCGGCUCACUGGCUCGAUACUGACGCUGAGGUGCGAAAGUGUGGGGAGCAAACGAGG
rnacentral:rRNA from 1 species